UCCUGGUUAGCUCAGUUGGUAGAGCGCUCCACUGGUAAUGGACAGGUCCCUUUCGAUACCAGGACCAGGCG
rnacentral:tRNA from 2 species